rnacentral:lncRNA from 1 species
AGUGCUGGGAUUUAAGGCAUGUGCCACCACUGCCCGGCUCAUCUGAAACUCUUAGGCCCGUGGUCUUGGUAGUUGGAGGGGUGCUAGUGGGGUCUCAGAACCAGAGCAAGCAGAAUAGAUCCCACCCUCAGGAAUAUGCAGGUGGGGAAGGAAAACAGGACUCAUCUGGAGUCCAUUUGACUGUGGGAACUGGUCAUCUCUAGACCAUCUCACUGGAGAGAUGAACAGCUCUCACCGAGAACUUAGGUUUGAUUCCCUGAGCCCACACUGCGAAACUCACAACUGGCUGUAACUUCAGCUCCUAGAUGAUCCCUAAGCCAAUAUGACUGGUGUUUGUACAAGAAAGAGGGGGGGGGGAGAAAGAAGUGGAGAAGGAGGAGGAGUAGGAGAAGGUACAGACAUUGGAGGAUCACUGCUUGGGCCAAUCAAAAAUGCCAGUAUCUCUAGAAGCGAAGAAAAAUAUCAGAAAACAGGCUCUCCCUCAGAACUGUCAAAGUGUGCUUACCCCGGUGACAUCUCAUCUCAGAUGUUCAGCUGCUGCAACUGCAGAGAGUAACCUUUGGUUAUAUUAAGUCACAUAGCCACUAGUAUUUUGUUUUGGCAGCUUUAGGAAACCCAUACUUGCUCAGCUUGGUAUAUUGACUCUUGGGAGCUGGAUGGUUUCCUUAUGGGGGCUACAAAGAGUGUGUAAGAUGCGUGGUCAAAACCCUGGUCUCUACCUAGUGAAGGUCAGGAGAAUCCAUCCCCUGACAAC